GGCUGAUUAAUUCUUCAAUCAUAUCAGGCAUUAUAUCUCCAAGGCCAAGUGAUACAGCCAGCUUGGGCAUCUGCUUCCGCCAGGCCGAUCCAACCACAAGCUUCCUAUACAUAUCAACAUCUUCCCUCUUUACAAUCCCAAAAGUAACCAAGUGCUGUAAGAAGGUGUGGACGUCCGGUGUUCUAACAUUCUCGAUACCACCUCGCUCUUCUAAGCUCGCCUUCCAAGUUUCAGCGAUCUCCUUGGCGCGCUCUUUCAUGGUAGGAGUAACCAAAAUCCUUGACUUCCCGAUCACUGGGUCUACAACAACUGGAAUCAGCGAUUCAAGCACUAAAACACAAGCCCAGCCCAAAUCAUUCCCACCAUCACUUUUUUCCACUCUCUUGUCAAGUGGAAACACCUCCGAGAUGGCCUCCAGCACGAAUCUCGGCGGAUCGAUGCAUUCAGCUAAAGCCAGAUGAAUUUUCGCCCUCAGUGCCUCCAAUUCCUUCUUCUUACCAGUGAUAAACCUCCAAAAUCCACCAGAAUCCAUUUCUAAACAGAACGAUUUCAGCUUCAACAACAAUCCAUCGCCAUCAUCGACUUCACCAUUCUCAUCAGCAUCUUUCUCAAGAGCUUUAAGCGCCGCCUCCAUACUUUUCUCGACCUUACCAAGCGCGAUCUGAACACUGCUCUGGAUACUAACCUCCCGCUUUUCCAGUUCAUCGAGUGACUCCUUAGUCUGAUGGUCUAGGGUUUGAAUUUUAUGCCUCAGUGCCUCCGAUUUCUUCAGAAGAUCUUGUUCCAGAUUAGUAAAGUGAUCGGAGAGCUCCUUCCAAAGCAGAGUACAGCUCGUCAUCAGAGACGUCUGCCUUUGGAACUCAUCGAAACUCGGGUGAGUCAACUCACUCACCUCUCCGGGAUCGGGGAUCGACCCCAUUUCUUUUUGCCUCUCGAACGGCGGCGGCGGCUCAGCGGCGGCUCAGCGGCGGAGAAAGAGAGAUAGAGAGAGAGGAGAGAGAAAGGGCGAG
rnacentral:misc_RNA from 1 species